GGGGGGGGCGAGGGAGGUUCGGUACAGAUUGGUGACUGUUUGCGCCUUUCGGUGCCUCGUGCAUUUUGUACGUAGUGUAAUCUUUACAUGUUGACAGUUAUUGACCUUACAAUCGUAAAUGUGCAGCGCCUUGGGACGUCCUCCUGACGUGAAAGGCGCUUUAUAAAUGGAAUCUUGUUGUUGUUGUUGUCGUUGGUCUUUUUCUGGCUCUUUGGGAUGACUCUGUAUGUCAGGAGUUACAGAUUAAUAAUAGUAAUAACCCUUGCAUUUGAUAUCGCGCUUUUCACGUCGAUCCCAAUUCAACUCCCCAGAUUCAAUCCCAACUACUUUUUAAUUGGGGCUCCAGCGCGUGAGUGAGUGAGUGAGACUCGAGAGUUGCGCCAGGAUUUUCUGAAGAGUGCCAUCUGAUUACAGCGCGUGUGCCUUGCGACAAGAUGGCUACCCGAGUGGUUAAUGGAAGGUGCCCGAACCCAAAGCAGCUUCAAGGGUCUUCUGCGUGCAAGAAACAGAAAAUGGCGCUUGAGCAAAGGAGACUGACUGCUGUCUUGCAGAUGGAUGAUUUUUCCAACUCACGAUUUCUUUAUCCUUGAUGAGAUGUGAACAUUAACAUUAAACCUCCAGCUGAGGUCACCAAUUCAAGUCAGCCCUAAUCAUCAAUACUAAAUCAUUUUAGUCUUGAGCAGGAUGGAGCGUGUUGAGCUCUCAAACCGGGAUCACCUGAAGGGAUUGUUUCUCUACUUUAAAGGUACUUACGACAAGAAUGCGCCCAGAAGGAUUUCGCUGUAUUAAUCAGCUAAUGUGGUUGUGCUGAGGUACUUAGGACAGGAAGGUGCCCGGAUGGAUGUCGCUGUAUUCGUCAGCAAAUGUGGUUGUGCAGAGACGGAGAUCUGAAAUUGAAAUGAGGCUAAGGAUGGAAGACCUCAUCUGGGGAGUAAAGAUCAGCUUUAAUAUCAACUGUUUGCUUCUCAGGAACCGGUGGAACCACUGAAAGCAGCUGUACAAACUCGAGGCAGAUGCACUCAGAUCUACGCCAAUGGGGACUCCGUUUUGUGUUCAGUGUGUUUUUGUGCUCCAUGUACAAAACUAACUUACUAAUGAGUUGCAUUGAAUGGUUAUCUACUGUAUUUUCAGAUCAGCAGUUUUAACAUUAGCAGCUGUGGCCAUUCUGUAAUCUCAUUUCUGCUCUUUAAAAAAAACACGCACACAA